rnacentral:rRNA from 1 species
GUGGGGAAUAUUGGGCAAUGGGCGAAAGCCUGACCCAGCAACGCCGCGUGAAGGAAGAAGGUUUUCGGAUCGUAAACUUCUAUCCUUGGUGAAGAUAAUGACGGUAGCCAAGAAGGAAGCCCCGGCUAACUACGUGCCAGCAGCCGCGGUAAUACGUAGGGGGCAAGCGUUGUCCGGAAUGAUUGGGCGUAAAGGGCGCGUAGGCGGCCCGGUAAGUCUGAAGUGAAAGUCCUGCUUUUAAGGUGGGAAUUGCUUUGGAUACUGUCGGGCUUGAGUGCAGGAGAGGUAAGCGGAAUGCCCGGUGUAGCGGUGAAAUGCGUAGAGAUCGGGAGGAACACCAGUGGCGAAGGCGGCUUACUGGACUGUAACUGACGCUGAGGCGCGAAAGUGUGGGGAGCAAACAGGAUUAGAUACCCCUGUAGUCC